rfam:Peptoniphilus grossensis strain 35-6-1 unitig_0, whole genome shotgun sequence.
GAUGUUUAGAGAGGUUGCGGUUUUUAAGAGUAGGUUAACGAAAGGGAAAAUCGCCGAAGGAGAAAUCCUGGGGAUGCAGAGAAUAUCUGUAUAACUGUCACAUUAGAAAUGCCCAUUUCUUUUGUAGUGUGCUCUAUUCAUU